rnacentral:rRNA from 1 species
AGUGAACGCUGGCGGUAGGCCUAACACAUGCAAGUCGAACGGCAGCACAGUAAGAGCUUGCUCUUACGGGUGGCGAGUGGCGGACGGGUGAGGAAUACAUCGGAAUCUACUUUUUCGUGGGGGAUAACGUAGGGAAACUUACGCUAAUACCGCAUACGACCUACGGGUGAAAGCAGGGGAUCUUCGGACCUUGCGCGAUUGAAUGAGCCGAUGUCGGAUUAGCUAGUUGGCGGGGUAAAGGCCCACCAAGGCGACGAUCCGUAGCUGGUCUGAGAGGAUGAUAAGCCACACUGGAACUGGAACACGGUCCAGACUCCUACGGGAGGCAGCAGUGGGGAAUAUUAGGCAAUGGGCGCAAGCCUGAUCCAGCCAUACCGCGUGGGUGAAGAAGGCCUUCGGGUUGUAAAGCCCUUUUGUUGGGAAAGAAAAGCAGCAGGUUAAUACCCCGCUGUUCUGACGGUACCCAAAGAAUAAGCACCGGCUAACUUCGUG